rnacentral:tRNA from 1 species
GCCGGUGUAGCACAGUAUGGUUUAUGCGCCUGGCCUGUAAACAGGAGACCGUCGGUUCAAAUAAGCCCACCGGCC